rnacentral:rRNA from 1 species
UACGAAGGGGGCUAGCGUUGCUCGGAAUCACUGGGCGUAAAGGGUGCGUAGGCGGAUCGUUAAGUCGGGGGUGAAAUCCUGGAGCUCAACUCCAGAACUGCCUUCGGUACUGGCGAUCUUGAGUCCGGAAGAGGUGAGUGGAACUCCUAGUGUAGAGGUGGAAUUCGUAGAUAUUAGGAAGAACACCAGUGGCGAAGGCGGCUCACUGGUCCGGUACUGACGCUGAGGUGCGAAAGCGUGGGGAGCAAACAGG